rnacentral:rRNA from 1 species
GGCGUGCCUAAUACAUGCAAGUCUUUCGGACCGGAUCGGAGCUUGCCCUGGUUUGGUCAGCGGCGGACGGGUGAGUAACACGUGGGCAACCUGCCCGCAUGACCGGGAUAACUCCGGGAAACCGGAGCUAAUACCGGAUAACACCGAAGACCGCAUGGUCUUUGGUUGAAAGGCGGCCUUUGGCUGUCACUUGCGGAUGGGCCCGCGGCGCAUUAGCUAGUUGGUGAGGUAACGGCUCACCAAGGCGACGAUGCGUAGCCGGCCUGAGAGGGUGACCGGCCACACUGGGACUGAGACACGGCCCAGACUCCUACGGGAGGCAGCAGUAGGGAAUCUUCCGCAAUGGGCGAAAGCCUGACGGAGCGACGCCGCGUGAGCGAAGAAGGCCUUCGGGUCGUAAAGCUCUGUUGUGAGGGACGAAGGAGCGCCGUUCGAAGAGGGCGGCGCGGUGACGGUACCUCACGAGGAAGCCCCGGCUAACUACGUGCCAGCAGCCGCGGUAAUACGUAGGGGGCGAGCGUUGUCCGGAAUUAUUGGGCGUAAAGCGCGCGCAGGCGGUUCCUUAAGUCUGAUGUGAAAGCCACGGCUCAACCGUGGAGGGUCAUUGGAAACUGGGGGACUUGAGUGCAGGAGAGGAGAGCGGAAUUCCACGUGUAGCGGUGAAAUGCGUAGAGAUGUGGAGGAACACCAGUGGCGAAAGCGGCUCUCUGGCCUGCAACUGACGCUGAAGCGCGAAAGCGUGGGGAGCAAA